CAGGCAGGGCCUCAGAGGCCAUCCUGAAAGAUCAGGCCUUUAUGCCAAAUACAACUAAAGCAGCAGGGAUAGAAAGUUUGGGGGUCCAGAGACACUUCACUCAGCCAGAUAGCAGAACAGGGAAGGCAGUCUUGAAGACGUGACUCACAUCUUGAGCUUUGGGGAAUGAGUAAGAGGAAGCCAGCUGGGGCAGGAGGGGGAGUGGGGAGUAAAUUCCCUUGAUAGGGCCCAACAGCAGUAAAGGUACGGAAGACCUUGAAUCGUGUGGUCCCAGCAUGGUGCAACACCCAGGGCUAGCUCUGAAAGGUAUCAGAUAGAAAAUGGCAGAGGAGGGUGUCCAUGAAGACAGAGAGGGCUUGGGGUCCCAGGCUGGGCAGCCUUAAGCAGGGAAAGGCAUGGCCAGGCAUGACUGCAGGUAAUCGCUCUGGCGGUGUGUGGAGGAUGGAUUUGAAGGAGGCGGGAGCGCAGCAGGGAGAUCCUUGAAGGGAAUAUGUUAAUAGCCAAUGGGAGAGGGCCCCCUAAACCAGGCUGGCUGGAAUCAGAAUGAAGAAAUGGAGAGUGCCUGGAGAGGUGUUUAGAGGGGCGAGGCGUCUAGGAUGAUGGUCCUGCCAUCACUGAGAUGGACCAGACGCGGCGAGUUGGAGAUGCGUGCACGGCAAGCCAAGUGGAACUGUCCGGCCAGGCCAGCGAAGAGAUGGGCACGCCGAGGGCUGCAGAUGGAGCCUGGAGUGGGAGGCGCCUCCUGUGGGUGGUUAAUAACCAGUCACAGCAAAUGAGUUGGUCCAGAAGGAAGGUGGAGGAAGAAACUGAGCGUGUCGCUGGGGACGAGAAGGAAUAAGAUUGGGGCGGGUGUGGGGAAGAGAGGACAGGAGGGGAAAGACCACGCAGACACUAAGCGGCUGCCAGGAGGUCAGCACCGCGCGGGGCUGGGCGGGCUCGGGGCGCGGGGGCUGCAGGCGGAGCCCCGGCGCGCCCAGCGCCCGCAGGCGCGGGAGAGCCAACCCCGGCCAGGGCCUUCCCGCAGCUCCUCGGGCUGCCUCGGCCGCAGCCGCCGGGGGCAGCAGGGCACUCGCGCGGCCGGGCCACCACGGCCAUCCCAGUCACCCCAGGCUCCCGCGUGUCCAGGCCGCGCCUCCCCCCCCGCCCGCGGACCUGGCGACGUCACUGCGGCUCUGACGCGCGCUAAUGGAGGCACGGGCGGAGGCGGCGUGGCGCAGGCACCCUCCCGGGAGGUCCCGGUCCUUGCAGCCCGCGGCCGCGUUCUUGGCCCUCCUCCAGGGGAACCUCGAUUUUCCAAACUCGGGAAGGCCGGCUGUCCUUCGGCUACUGAUUAGGACGCGAGCGCCUGGUAAAAGAUUUUAACAAUGCCCGGAAAGAAAUAGCCGGACCCAGGAAAGACUAAUAAUAGCCGCCAGCUAGAGUUCUGCUCGUGUGCUCAGCGGUCUUAAGAACAAUAAUAACGACAACCACAAUAGCCACCAUUUAUUGAGCGCUUACUCUGUGCCAGGCACUGUGUUCAGCGCUUUGCAGGCAACAACCCUCGGAGGUGAGGUCACAAGACUGGUAAGUAGCAAUGCUGGGAAUCUACCAGGAGUAUCUGACUUUAAAGUGAUGUUCCCAUCACCCAUCACGCAGAAUGUACAAGGUGAUACAGCUGAACAAAAGAGGUAAGAUACAAACCAUGCAAAAACAAACCGAAAUCUAUUCUAAGACUGCUCAAAAAUACCACAUGUGUAGCAAAGGCUUCAAUAGCUUUCGGAGACCCAGUCUGAGACUCAAUUGUCUAAAAUAGGAAAACAAAUCCUCAGGUGCAAUCAGAGGAGAAUAGGAAUGAGGCGUUCAGCUUUCCCUUGGAAGAGCAUCUGGAGAGGCCCACUCACUUUCUAUGUCUGGGCUCUGAGGAAAUAAAGGUGGUUCUAGGAAAAUCUGAAAAGUAUGAGAGGGAAGAAAAAAAAAUCCCUUCUGUGGUUUUUACUUUAACCAAGACUCAUUUUGCUAUUUGUGUUUUAUUUUUAAACUAAUGUGGCUCUCUCCACCCUUUAAAUUGGCACAUAAAUAGCAAAAACAGAAGGAAGGCCAGCUACAAACUUCAAAUGUGGUGGGUUUCUCAGGGAGGAGGUACCUGACUUGAAGUGAAAAUGAGGAUUAAAUGAGGUGCCUUAAACAUUUCAAAGACAGACUUUCCACAAGGAAUUUAGAUCAUAAGCCUUUAGAACAGAAGGUUUGUCUGGGUUUAGGCUGGGUAUAGUGUUGAGAAUUUAUGAGUGCCCCCAGAAUGUGGAAAACGAAUCACAUUUUUAGUGUCUGUCUCCAUCAUCUAGUCCUCUGGGCCACCACUUUGCUUAUGGCUUUAAAGGAUGGCUUCUGGGGGAUUUUCCUGUCCUCUGGAUCGCAGUCACACACCCUCCCUCAGACCCCUUACUUUUCCAGAAGUUUGCUCUGGGAAUUCUGUCGAGGUGAAGCAAUGAUUGAUGAUGUCACUAGGCUUGGUUGAAGAGAUUGACUGGCCAGCUCUGGAAUCACUAACUGGAGGUUUUCCAAACUGGGAAACCAAAGCAGAAGGAACUUCUUGAGACUUGUCACUUAACAGUUGUGACUCUCUCCCCCUACGUCUUUGAACUACAAGGAUUCCCCUCUUACCCAACACCAGAGAGUCCUGAACAUUCCAGGCUGCUUCUUGCAAAAUUCUUAGACCUCUUUGACCUUUCCUCUCUCUGCUGCUUCCCUCAUUCUUUCAGUGCAUUCAUUCUACAAACAUGUAUUGAGGGCCCACGAUGUGUAGAUCCUAGCAGUACAGCAGAGAACCUAACAUGAGCUCAGAAGGUUACUUUCUCCCAUUCCCACCUAGCUUCUGACCUCCUGGCUCCAACUUCUAUGCCUGGAGAGGCCCCAUAAUAGUAAAUGACUUGCUUCUCCAGGUGAGGACUGUUGCUUAGACAUAUCUGACAUUCUGUCAACUUCUGGCAGCUCCCUGAGAUCACACUCUGUGACCACAGACGCCACUAUGGUGACACCUAUUUGGUUGAAGGUUUGGGUCCUGAUAUAACUUCAGAAGCAGGGCUCAGAAAUGCUCCAGCUCCAGCACUAGCCCAUGCUCCUUCCUUUUCUAGUAGUCACUCCUUCUGUUUAUAAGAUCACUAUUGACCAAAAUAGCUCAGGCCAUAUUUAUGAAGCAUCUACUCUGGUGAAAAAUCCCAUAGUGCCAUAAUACCCCACUGUCCAAGGGAAAAUGUUGGCUUAAACAAACAACAGUGACUAUCUGGCAAAAGGAUGUGUGGGAUAAUGCUUAUGAGUCUUUUCGGUCAUUUUUCUAUUGAAUCUUGGGACUGAGUGAUUCAUAAUAAUGAGGGCAAGGAAGAACACUAGGCCUGUUUUAGCUUUCAGGAUUAUUCAAAUGGAAUAGAUUUCCACCAUCAACACCCUAGCAAAGACAGAAUGCAUAAGGUAAAUUGCCGGUUUUUGUCUUUUUGGAAAAUCCAUUAAUACUGAAUGUUCUUGGUUUUAAACCAUUCCCCCACUCCCCCCCCCAAAAAAAAAAAAUGAGAGAGAGGACUGAACUGUAGGAUUCAGAUUACAUCCUUGGAAAUCCCUUUAGAAAGUAGAUUCUAAAUCAGUACUCAUUCUUCUUGAACAUCCCACCCCCAAGACUGGCCCACCCCUCCUAGAUACAGUAUUAUUUUCUCUCCCCUUGAGGAAGGAGUGGCUCAGAGACCAGAAGACUGAGGGAGAGUAAGGAAGACUUUUCCAUUACCUGAGUUGCAGAGCUGUUUGGGUCUAGAGAACCUGUAUAUGUGUGCUGUGUCUGCACGGAGUUCAUGACUGUGCAUCCUCUGGCUAAUGUCCAAAGUCUUCAUAACAUGGGGACUGAGAUGUACCAAAAGAAGGCCUAUCUGUGAAGGAGGACAUGUGUCCACCCACCAAGAAGUUUUUGAUGGUCAGUGUCUGCGUGUUCAGCUGCUGGAUGAAGAGAUUUGGAAACCACUAAACAUUCCUACUGGGAUCUUUCCAAGUCCUUUUGGGAAUCGGCAACAGCGCUUAUCCGGGGAAAUUAGUUUUGCACUUUCACAGAGUGAGAAAUUCCUCGGGGGCAUUCUUGUUCUUGGGAAGAGGAAUCAAACCCUGCUCACUCCUUCAGGGCCCUGGCUCUUAGUAAAGCACAGCGAAUCCCAGUUCGGUUGGUCCAGCCUGGGGCCUUGGGGUGGGAGCAGAUGCAACAGCGGAGUACAGCGAAUUUCACCUGUGGCUAAGUCCCUACCCCCACGACUGCCGCAAGCGUGAGAUUUCAGUGGAUCGUGUUACCAGCGUGUAAACACCUUGAGUGGCCGCCAACGCUCCCAAGCGACCACAGAAGAUCUCAAACCUUUCCUAUCUUCCUAGAAACCCUGGCGGCCCGGCCGGCUGCUUGCUGUCUGAUGCAACAGUUUGCAACGCUGUUCUGGGAGCCGAGCCGGCCGCGGGGCGCUGGGCGUCCUGCCGAUGCGCCUGCGCGGGCUGCGGCCCGUCCUGCCGGGAGGGGGAGAAGCUUUUCACCAGAUGUGCUGGGGGCGGGGCGGGCAGGGAGACCUUUGGCAGCUCGCGCCGGCGAUCUGAGCUUAAUUAAACUUCUCCCGAGGCAAUGGCUGACUGACCCAGUGAUCCAAAAAAAUCAGAGAGGCCCGAAUCGCCCUAAACGCGACAGGAGAGCGAAGUUGGGGAGUUGGCUUUCGGUUUCCAGAGCUCGGCCUCUCUUCCCCGAGCCCCCCAAGUCCGCAAUGCUUUCGGGGUUCCAAAGCUCACUAGGGCGUCAGGUCUCGCUUGCCUGGGCCCUUCUACUGAAUUCUCAAAGAGGGAAGAAGAGUGGUUACAGAGGAGAAAAGAGGCAAAGUUUUGAUAGCAUCUAGAUCAGUAUCUUUCCUCCUUCAUUUCUCCACCCAUGUGCCUUAGAAGGUUUUAUAAGCAAAAAGGAACAUGGCAUCACGGAUUUUUUUCCAAAUUUUUGAGCCAUUUAGGUAUUGCCUGCAUGAUUUUCUUCCAUACUCACAUUCCUCCUAUAUUAUAUAUUUUAAGUUGACUUUUAUUUUAUUAACUUUCCUUAUUUUUAAAAUUAACUUUAAAUCGAUUCCCUUUUUCUACAUAGCCUUGCCUGAAGCAACAACAUUAGUGAAACCACAGCUCUGAUGUGCUAGUCAUAUAUUUUAAUACACUUGAAAAUAAACUCAUAACUAGUCAAAUUAAAAAAGUAUGUGUUAGCUAAAAUGUGUCUUGUCUACUACAUUUGAAGAAAAACUCCAGAGGUAAUAACAAUAGCUAACAUAUCAUGAGUGGUUGCCAAUGUCCCAGGCACUGUUCUAAGAUUCAAGUCCUUAGGACACCUUAGAAGGUGGGUGUUGUUUACAUUUUACAGAGGAGAAAAGUGAGCCACAGAGAGGUUAGGGAACUUGCUUAAGGUCACAGAGCCAGGAUGCAAACUCUACUAGCCUCACUCUAGACCUAUACUGCUGGCCUAAAAAGAGGCUAAGUUACUGCCGAGAUCCCCCAGGUGGUUAGCACACUCCAGAUUUGAACCCAAGUCUGACUGACUGCAGAACUGAGCUUUUAACUAACGUGUGGGACUCUUUUGCCUAUAUUCUCAAAUCUCACCUCACACAGCCUUCUCUCUGUCCGCUUCCUUUGGAAUCCAAAAUGCGCUUCCAGGUCUUUCUCUCCUUAUUCCCCCGCCCCCUGGGUGGGACAAAGUUUCUCUUUUCUAGUGUUUUCUUCUCUUCUCUGAAUUAAAGUAACCCAUAAAUCUCUAAUUUCCCUGGGAAUCCCUACUUUGAAGGUCCUGUCUUCUCUCCUCCACUGACCAUGGAACUGCUUAGAAAUUCCACCUAUCGGCAUUGAAACUACAUUUCCCAGACUGCCUUGCUUGCCUGGAAAGAGAACAAAAAUCCUGUGUCAAACCAUGUGGCUCCUGUUUGGGGGUCGGAAAAUCUGGUCACUAGCUAGGACAAAGAUUGGUAUGCCCGUAGACUAAUCCAUCUGGCCCCAGGCAGACAUGAAUUUCCCAGGCCUCAAUGACUGGGGGUAGGGGUGAGUUAUUUCAGCAAACAAAACCCUCAAUUAGGGGUUUAAAUGAAGACUUGGCAUAAGACUUCUAAAAGAUGGCUGACCCCUGCCCCGUAAAUAUAUUUUUUUUUCUGCAGCAGCCCUUGCCGCCACUCCUUCCCUCUCUUCCCUUCCUUUUCCUUCCCCUUCUUCCAGACUCUUCUCUUAAUUGUACCAUCCUGCCACUCCCUUGUCCCCAUCCCCACCCCCAAGCCGACACCCACUCUUUAACUGUUUAGUAUAAAAUCCAGCCCACCAGACUGAGGUUUUCUUCGACCCAAAUGUUAUUUUCAGAAGGAGCCAUUGAGGUUGGGGUGUAAUUGCAGCGUUGGGCCUCUGCAAGCCAAGCUGAAAAUAAUCAGCGAGGCAGAUGGGGUGGGAAGAGUGUGCGGUGGCCACUUCCACCAAAGAGCAAGAGAAACCCAGUGGGGUGAGUCAGAGAGAGGCGAGUGCCAGGCUGGGCCUCCUGGGCUUACAGCCGGGAGUUGAGUUAAGGAGAAACUGCCCAAGGUGUUGGGCCUUUGACUGAGACCAAUCCAAGGUGGUUCCUGGCUGCACAUCACAAGUCCAUAUUUCUUGUGACAGCUACUAAGCUUCUCUUGCUCUUCCUCAGUUGGGCCAUAGAAGCCAGUACUCCAAAUGGGUGCUUGGCCAUCCAGUUGGCUCACCCAUCUCUAGAGCAGGGUUUCUCAACUUGGGCACUACUGGCAUGUCGGCUUGGAUACUCCUUUUGUUGUGGGGAGCUAUCUUGUGCGUUGUGUAGGAUGUUUAGCAACAUCCCUGGCCUCUACCCACUGGACGCAGUAGCACACACACACACACUUACACAAGUCAGGACUACCCGAAAUGCCUCCAGACACGCCAAAUGUCUUUGUCUGAGAGAAUCACCCCUGGUUGAAAACCACUGGUCUAGAGUGAUCCAGGCCUAUUAAAGGGUCAUGUCACCUGUCCCCACGGUGGCCUCAUUGCUUUGCAUUACAUCUGAAUGAGCCCUGAUAGAAACUACUGGCCAAUUCCUAGUUCCAUUGACAACUGUUGAAUACCUCAAACCCAGCACAAGUGCCCAGGCACUGGACAAGGUGUUGAGGAUGAAGCCACAAGCAAGACAGAUGUGGUCCCUCAUGGAAGUGACUGAGUGAUUAAACAAGCCUGAGUUAGAGGCUUGUAGAGAAAAGCCCUGGGGUACUACAGGAAAAUCGAAGAGGGCUUCUCACCUAAGUUGGAGGAGGUUGUCAAGAAAGGCUCUUAGAGGAAAUGAGGAAUUAGCCAGCUGGAGAUUUGAGGGUGAGGCAGUGUUCCAUGGAGUAGGCACAGAGUGUUCAGAAGCGCUGAGUUAAGAGAGAACGUCAUACAUUCAAGGGACCCAGAGAAGUCUGUCAUGGACCAGGCUGAGGACAGUGGGUAGUUGUUUUCUCCUCUCACCCCCAAAACUUGCUUUCCUUGUACUCCUUCUCCAGAUUUCUAGCACAAGCAAAUAAACUUAGGAUCAUAUUUAACUCCCCCCUCUUCCUUGGUGUUGCUCAACUCCCCUCAGUCACCCGGUUACCAAGUUCUGUCAGUUCUGCCACCAAAAUCUCUCUGCAGACUAUCUCCUUGUCUCCUUUCCCACCACCACAGCCCUGAUGCAGGCUCUCUUCAUUACUCAGCCGAAUUUGUGAAAUAGCUUCCUAACGAGUCAUCCUCCAGUCUCUACCUCAGAGAAAGACUCACAUCUGCCCAUGUCUCUGCUGGCUUAGAAACCCUGCAUGGCUUCCAGAGGCUUGUCAGACGGGCUUCUGCCUCCCCCACCCCCACCCCCACCCCCGGCUCUCAGGUGCCCUUUGUUAACUGCUUCCAAGAUCACUCCCGCCCUCCCACUCCCUAGCCACACCAGACCACUAGCCACACCCUGUAGGCCUUCACGCCUCUGUGAUUUUGCUGUUCUCUUUAUCUGAAAGGCUCUUUCCCAACCAAAAUCAUUUGGGGGAAUUCCCACAUAUCCUUUAAGACCCAGACAAAAUGAACUCAUGAUAUCCUUUAUCCCUUCUUAGAAGCCUUCUCUAAAUUCUUCCCUCUGUUUUCACUGGGAUUUAUAUAUUGCUGCUAGUUUACCAUUUGUUAUGUUGACCCAUAGUGACGUAUUUAAAUCUGUCCCUCUCCUAGAGUAAGAGGGCCUCAAAGGCAGGCAAUGCAGUGGACCCUGCUGGUUGAUUACCCAAGACCCAUUCACCCCACUUCCAGCUUCCUAAGGAGUAUACAAGGCACAGUGUAUUAUUUAGCAGACAAGCUAAGUUGCCGUAACAAACAGACCCAGAGUACAGAGGCUGAAGCAAGCCCAUAUGCCUCAAGGGAAGCUGACCCCUUGCCCAGCUCCAGGGGUGGGCCCACCACCCUUCUCAAGAAUUGGUUCGGGAACCUGGGCCUGAACUAAUCAGUGUGUGGUAGAGACUUCUCUGGUUCCCUAAUAUCCGCUCUCCCCUUCUUUAGUAACAUUACUCCCAGUUUGGGGCCAAGCGGAUAGCUGCCUGGUAAGGACUGCAUUUCCCAGCCUCCCUUGCAGCUUGAUGUAGCCACAAGUCUAAGUUCUCACCAAAGGACUGUGAGCAGACACGAUUGUACCACUUCUAAGCUAUGCCUUCGCAAAGAAUGUGCAUGUGCUCCCUUGUCCUUCCCCUGCCCUUCCUCCCCUUUCUGAGAGGUAAUAGAAAUUGGAACAGUCUCCCUGGACCUAGAGAGGGAAGGCACAUUUGGAGGAUGGUGGAGCCCACCUAUCAGUCUUGGAUGGCUUUUUUUCCUAACUCUUCUAUGAUAUGAAAGAGACAUAAACUUCUGUUUUGCUUACACUUCUGUUUGGAGUCUUUUAGGCCUGUGACCUAAGGGCCAGUGAGAUACAAGGAAAGGUUUAAUAGGGGUUUCAGGGAAAGAUCUCUCUUGUUUUUAUGAGGGAACAUCGUGGAGCAACCUUCUCUCUUUCUCUUCCUCUGCACAUUGCUGGGCCUGGAACUAUCGCAGUGCUCUUGCUACCAGCCUAAUACAUGGGCUACAAACAAGGAGGGCAGAGCUGAGAGAACUGCAGGGAAAUGGAGUCAGAGUUUCUGGACUAAACAACUCUGAGGUCCACUGUCUUGUCUGCUUGGGUCGUCAUAACAAAACACUACAGACUGGUGGGCUUAAACAAUAGAAAUUUACUUUCUCAUCAUUCUAGAGGGCUAAAAGUCCAGGGUUGGUUUCUGGUGAGGCCUCUGUUCAUGGCUUGCAGACAGCCACCUUGUCAUUGUGUCCUCACAUGGCCUUCUUCCUGUGUGCUUGCAGAGAGAGAGAGCAGUCUGUUGUCUCUUCCUCUUCUUAUAAAGACACCAGUCCUAUUGGAUUAGGGUUCCAUCCUAUGACCUCUUUUAACCUUAAUUAUCCCUGUCCCCAGAUAUAGUCCCAUUGAGGUUAAGGCUUCGACAUAUGAGUUUGGGAGGAGGUCACAAUCAGUCCAUGACACCCACUCUACCUCUGGGCUUCCAGUUUUGUGAGCCAAUAAAUGUCCUUUUGUUGAAACCAGCUCACAUUACUUUUCUGCCACUUCUAACCUUACGUUGUUUCACUCCUCUUGGGCCUAGCACAGAAGAGGUCUAUAAAUAUUGGUGGAAUAAAUGCCCAGUCACUAUUUUUCUUCUCUUAACCUGAAAUGACAACAUCACAGAUAAACUAUAAACAUUUGUCUUUCUCUCUGCCGCAGCCUAAACACCUAAAGCAGUAGCAUGGACCUCAUCUCUAGAAAAUUCUUCACAGACCCAGCUAUAAAAUCAGAAAGUUGAAUUAAACACACUCUAGCCUACCUUCCAGCAGAAACAUCCCAAGUCCCCUCCAGCUCUGAUGUCCCAUGGCUCUGCCCGAGGCUCUCUGUGUCAUUCUGUGUCCACACUGAGGACCUUUCUAGCACUAACAAUGUACAGUCUACCAAGAGGGCCCUCUGGGCUCCUGCCCCCACCCUCUUACGGUCUAGGGUUCUGUUUGAUGCCUUCUCGAGCUCUGGAGUCCCAAGAUUCUGUAACACUACGCUGAACACAAGGAAGUUUUUGAGUGGCUACUAGACCUCUUGCCCCACAGCACAGAAGAGAAAGCCCAGAGGAGGGCCUGGACUGUCACAGCCUUGUCCUUCCAGAAGAAAUCAGAGGCUGACUCUGCUGAGAAGCAGGCAGGUAGGGGCCUCACAGUGCUCAGACAUACGUACAGUAGAUCCUGCAGCAAGGACACUCGAGUUCCUUGUGCCCAUCGCUCAGCCAUCCAGACUGCCAUCAGUGGUGCCCAAAACAGGGCACGUGCCAGUUCCAGGCAACACACUUUCUUCUUUCAGCCAUGAGAACUCCACUCGUACAGACCGGGGAAAGGGCAGCCUCAUUACUCAGCCAACUGGAAUGUGGGAAAAUUAGACCUCCGGGAAAAUGACCAGUGAAUGGACCCUGGUCAGCCAGGACCUUGAAGGUCCAGAGGUGCUUCAGCAGCAACUCCAAUCCUUUCUUCCCACGCCUUUUGAAGUUACCAUCUAUAGGACACUCACCAUGUGCUGAGCACAUAUAUUAGCUCAUUUUCUCUUCACAAGGGCUCUGUAGGAUGCAUCAUUGCUAGCCCCAUUUUAUAGAUAAGUGAAUUAAGGCUUAGAGAGGUGAAAUGGCUUGCUUGGAGUGACAGAGCGGGAUUUGACCUCAGGUUCUUAACCAGAUGCUUGCUGGGAGACCUUUGUAAUUUGACGGCAUCUUCUCUGGUUUUAUAACUUAGGCGGGCCUGGGGGAAAGGCAUGGUGAGACCCCAGACCUGUGAGGUCAGUGCCAAUGGGGAAGAAGUUAAGACCAGAGAGAAACACAGUCACUGGAGUGAAGGAGAAGACUGGCAAAGACCAGCAGGCAGUCAGAGUCAAGUACAAAGAGUGUGGCCAGCUCCGUCAGUUAGGGUCUACUGGACCCAACCAGGGUGGUCAGGAUCUCCCUGGGCAGAGCGGUGAUGUCUUAGUCUGUUCGAGCCGCUAUCACAAAAUACCGUAAACUGGGUGGCUAAUAAAAAACAGGAGUUUAUUUCUUUCCGUUCUGGAAGCCGGACAUCCCAGAUCAGGGUGCCAGCAUGGUCGGAUUCAGGUGAGAGCCCUCUUCCAGAAGGGGCCAGGGAGCUCUGUGGGGUCUCUUCUAAGAACGCUAAUCCCAUUCAUGAGGCUCCAUCCUCAUGAGCAACUCCCAAAAGCCCCACUCCUAAAACCAUCACAGCGGGCAUAGGAUUUCGACAUAUGAACUUGGAGGAGACACAAACAUUCAGACCAUAGCAGACAGGAAACUCCCAAGCAUGAGGGUGGGCAGAAGCUCUAUCCUACAGCCAGGCCUCUAGGGUGCCCCUUGGGUGCCAGUUAAGGUGACCAUGAACAGAAUGGAGUGGCCUCCAGCAGGACCUCACGGACCCCAGACCAAGAGCCCUGGCAACUGGCAGGUCUGAGUCUACAGGAUGUCUUCCUGCCCAGCGAGAUCCAUUCUGCCCCUCAUGUUCUCCCAGCCUCAAUACGAUCUCAGCUGGGCCACUUCCUCCCCGUGUGGCCAAGUCACCUAAUCCCUCUGGACCUCAGUGCCCUCCUCCAUAUUUUGCGGGAAAUAGAGUACCCUCUCUUGGGUUGUCAUGACAACGAAAUAACGCCUAGUGCCAUGCCUGGCACAGAGCCAGUGGUCAGUGACUGGGAGUAGCAGUCAUAACUGUUGUUAAUAAUAAUAAUAACCUGGGCAGCAAUAGAGGAAUUGGUGACCUGUCUGUGAGGGUCUUCAGAGAGCAGGGGCAGAAGAGAUAAGGUGGGGCCCUGUUUGGAGCAGUCAAGCCGGAAAGCAGCAGCAUCUGGGGUUCUGCAUCCAGGGGCCACCUGCUGGUCUCCCCCCUUGGAGGACUGGCACCCAUUUCCCUGACACCUCAGACUCAGUCACAAUUCUUCCUCCAGCUGGUCCUCGGACACUCCAGCUGCCACGGUCCUAGCAGGGGAAUAUUCAAUGCCUGAGAAGGGGAUGGAGGUUUUGUCCCUCCCCUGCCGCUUCCAGGUAAAGGCCGGAUGCCAACAAAGGGCUGGGGGGUGGGAGAGGCGGAGGACGAUGCAAGCAUCAGGUGCCUCCACUGGGUGUUUGCUAUAUGCCAGGCUCUGUGUGAAACACAUAGACACUUCCUGUGUCCUCUCGGGUUUAAUCCUCCAGCCACUAGAAGAGGAGGUAUGUGUCUGUUGUCAUCAUCAUCAUCAACAGAAACAUCCCCAUUUGAUAAAGGCAUUGAGCCUCAGAGAGGUUAAGGAACUGCCAAGAUCCCAUAGCCAGAAUUCAGCAGAGCCAACAUUUCGACCAACUCCACCUGAUAGAAGACUUCAGCCUCCCAAGGAGGAGUUAAUGUGUCUCUCUUGGCCCAUGGCUCUGGCAUCAAGAGGGCACUGGUCCUGGCAUUUGAGUCAAGGAAGUAGGCGGCCCACUGGGAAAUGGAUCGCUCACAGAGCUCAUCCAUGACUCAGCCUGGGCCUCCAGGCCUGUUGCACCUUCGUGAUGUUUGCCAGAUGUUGCAGGCUUGAAAAUGGUGGUCCACCAGGAGGUGGCUACUGCUGCCUGGCGGGGGGUGACCCCAUACACACAGACGCGUGUGGACACACCGGCCUGACCCCCACCUUGGCCCAGGAGAGGACAGUGAAGGGAUGUUCGUUUGGCAGGUGAGUGGGAAAGGCUGGGUGGCUCCACUCUCAUCCCCCUCCCAGUUCUGGGGAGAUGCUCUGAUGUUUUCCUGCAGAGCUGGCUAUGGGCCUGGAGGCUUUUACUCUCCGUAAAGUCAAGAAGAAAGGACACUGGGAAACUCCUUCUCCAAAAUCCGUUCAGACUCGACCAGCCUCUCUGAGCCUCCGAGCCAGACGGUGGCUGAUGCCCUUGUGGACUCACACUGAGUAAGGACAGGCUGCCUCAGAAACCUCAUCUCCAGAUCCCACCACCUCCUGGAAAUCAACCUCCCAAUGACCCCAAGCCUUGCUCCAGGCUCUGAGUCAUGCAGAAUGGCUCCCUCCUAACAGCCCCAUGCCGUAGCCUGGUGUGGCUGCAGGAGCAUGAGCCUUGGGGUCAUCUGAGUCUCAGUCCAGACUGAUAGGAGCUGUGAGAGCUGGGGCAAGUGACCCAACACUUCUGAGCCUCAGUUUCCUCUUCUAUAACAUGGAGGUAAUAACUAUACCCACAGAAGGUCUAGUAAAUGGGAGUGCCCCUGCCUCUUCCCUUUAUUCCUCCUCCUCCUGGACCUCCUUACCUCCACUGACCACAUAAGCACCUAGCUGCAGGCCCUCAUUUCCCAGCAUCCUCCCAGCCUCUGAGCUUCUCAGGAGACAGCGGUUUUGCCACCCUUUGCUUGUGGCCUGCUGUGGGCCAGCUCCCCCUGAGAGGAAAGGCCUCAGAGCUGGGCGACUGGGGCCGCACCCUCUUUGUAAACACUAGCUGGGCACCAACUGACCUCAGGAGGGAAGUGCUCGGCUGGGACCCUCCUCCUUCGGCCCUGCCUGCCACUGUAUGUUCCAGGGGAAGCGCCAGGCCAAUCUGGCACCCUUGUACCCAGGCCGCCUCUGUCCUGGAAAUAGGCAUUUGGAGCCAAACCCUUGGUUGAAGGUGGAAGGAAGUUAACAGGCCUGAGUGCUUCCCUCCUGCCCUCCCUCAGCCCCACCCUGGCCGUCCCAGACAGAGCAAGUUGUCUCUAAUUUAAGUGUUUUUAAUGAUCAUGACAGACAUACAUAAAGAGGACUUUACUGUUCCUUUUUGUUUCUUAAAAAUAAAGACAGAAUGAAGUAUAACAAAAUAUUAAUCAUUUUAACUCUGGGCAGUGAGGAUGUGCGUGUGUUAUUGCUCUUUGUAACAUUCUUUUCUGGAUUGUUUAAAUUUCUCUAAAUAAAUAAGAUUCAUACAGGUUUAUUGGAAAAAAAUUCAAAAAUGCCAAACAGUGUAAAGAGAAAAAUAAGAAUCACCAAAAUCUCUACUUUGGAAUCAGACCAUUAUAUAUUGGCUUAUCUUCUCCUGGUCUUUUUUCUAGCAUGUAUUUGUAUCUUUUUUUUUUAACUGAGAUAUAAUUGGCACAUAACAUUGUAUUCAUUUAGGUUCACUUUAUUCUUUUUACAAAAAAAAAAAACUCUAGAAUUAUACUGUUUAAUAACGUUUU